rnacentral:sRNA from 1 species
AGAGUAAAGACGUCCCACCGUUACUUUGGCCUGUUUGGUCGUAUCUGGUUGGUUUACUGAUUGAUGAAUGGACGAGGUCGUCUCCGUGAUUGGUAGUUCCGGCAAGGGUUUUGUACUGCAGAAAUUAAAGAUAAAGAACCUUCAUGAGAAUAACUAUAACAUAAGUGAUAAACGGGA